rnacentral:rRNA from 1 species
GAUGAACGCUGGCGGCGUGCCUAAUACAUGCAAGUCGAGCGAACAGACGAGGUGCUUUCUCCUCUGACGUUAGCGGGGGACGGGUGCGUAACACGUGGAUAACCUACCUAUAAGACUGGGAUAACUUCGGGAAACCGGAGCUAAUACCGGAUAAUAUAUUGACACGCAUGGUUCAAUAGUGAAAGACGGUUUUGCUGUCACUUAUAGAUGAAUCCGCGCCGCAUUAGCUAGUUGGUAAGGUAACGGCUUACCAAGGCAACGAUGCGUAGCCGACCUGAGCGGGUGAUCGGCCACACUGGAACUGAGACACGGUCCAGACUCCUACGGGAGGCAGCAGUAGGGAAUCUUCCGCGAUGGGCGAAAGCCUAACGGAGCAACGCCGCGUGAGUGAUGAAGGUCUUCGGAUCGUAAAACUCUGUUAUUAGGAAAGAACAAAUGUGUAAGUAACUAUGCACGUCUUGACGGUACCUAAACAGAAAGCCACGGCUAACUACGUG